rnacentral:rRNA from 1 species
AUGUCUACCAGCCGAGCUCUUAGUCGCUUCCCUGUUAUUUCCUGGUGUGAUUUUGCAUCUGGAGCCGUCCUGGCAAGGUCUUCUCAGCACAUGGGAAUCAAGAAUCUUAAGAAUAGGUAUGAGGAUGAAAAACUUGUAUCUGCCCUUUGCACUCCAGGAAUUCAUCGCACAGACCUUAUAAGGAAACUAUACAUAGUUGAUGCCCGGCUAGGGGUCAGCGAUUUAGGAAAUGGUAGGGGAUCAGAGUCAGUUUGUUCCUAUCCGAAAUCUGAGGUUGUCUAUCUUGGAAUUGAAGAUAUAUAUGAAAUGAGAGCUAGUUUUUCAUCUCUCUGGAAGUAUGUUGAUACUUAUGGAUCAAUUUCAUCAAAUAGACCCCCUUCAGCUGGAUCUGUCAUUGGAGACCUGGUAAAUCAUGGCUUAGCCUGGGGCGGCGGAAUUAUAAAUAGCAUGACAAUUUUUUCUAUUCGGGAGGAAUGGCUAAAUCAUAUUCAUAUUAUCCUCAUUGGUGGUUCAUGGAUUGCUGAAAAAAUUGCCCAUGAAUCAGCUUCAGUUCUAGUGCAUUGCAGGUCUUUUUUGACAAUUUACAUAUCUCAUUAUCUGCAAUAUUUGUUAACUGAAUCAAUUCAUGUAAUGUGGUAA